GGUUAGUAUACACAGCUUGAUUCUCAACAAAAUAAAAACUAAACAGUAUCAAGAACAAAUAUACAUUGUGCCGAUGGAUAUUGUGAAUUUUAUCGUGGGAACAUAUGGCGACAAGUACUAUGAUAAGAGCACAAAAAAAAGUCCACAGUUUUAAUAUUCAGCAGUAUGACCACCACUGGCAGUUUAUUGACAAAAGGAAACUUGCAUCCCAUCCAUUUCUAUUUGUCCCAAUUUGUAAUGGAGGGCAUUGGUGGUUGUGGAUUACUGAUGUAAACAAUAAGAAAUUCUAUGUCCUUG